rnacentral:rRNA from 1 species
GACAGAGGGUGCAAACGUUGUUCGGAGUUACUGGGCGUAAAGCGCGUGUAGGCUGCUUCGCAAGUCGGAUGUGAAAGCCCUGGGCUCAACCCAGGAAGUGCAUUCGAAACUGCAGAGCUGGAGUCCUGGAGAGGAAGGCGGAAUUCUCGGUGUAGAGGUGAAAUUCGUAGAUAUCGAGAGGAACACCGGUGGCGAAGGCGGCCUUCUGGACAGUGACUGACGCUGAGACGCGAAAGCGUGGGGAGCAAACAGG